GACGAACGCUGGCGGCGUGCUUAACACAUGCAAGUCGAACGGAAAGGCCCUGCUUUUGUGGGGUGCUCGAGUGGCGAACGGGUGAGUAACACGUGAGUAACCUGCCCUUGACUUUGGGAUAACUUCAGGAAACUGGGGCUAAUACCGGAUAGGAGCUCCUGCUGCAUGGUGGGGGUUGGAAAGUUUCGGCGGUUGGGGAUGGACUCGCGGGUUAUCAGCUUGUUGGUGGGGUAGUGGCUUACCAAGGCUUUGACGGGUAGCCGGCCUGAGAGGGUGACCGGCCACAUUGGGACUGAGAGACGGCCCAGACUCCUACGGGAGGCAGCAGUGGGGAAUAUUGCACAAUGGGCGGAAGCCUGAUGCAGAAACGCCGCGUGCGGGAUGACGGCCUUCGGGUUGUAAACCGCUUUCGCCUGUGACGAAGCGUGAGUGACGGUAAUGGGUAAAGAAGCACCGGCUAACUACGUG
rnacentral:rRNA from 1 species